rnacentral:rRNA from 1 species
CCUACGGGUGGCAGCAGUGGGGGAUAUUGCACAAUGGAGGAAACUCUGAUGCAGCGACGCCGCGUGAGGGAAGACGGUCUUCGGAUUGUAAACCUCUGUCUUUGGGGAAGAAAAUGACGGUACCCAAAGCGGAAGCUCCGGCUAACUACGUGCCAGCAGCCGCGGUAAUACGUAGGGAGCGAGCGUUGUCCGGAAUUACUGGGUGAAAAGGGAGCGUAGGCGGGCGAGACAGUUGAAUGUUAAAUCUACCUGCUUAACUGGUAGCUGCGUUCAAAACUUCUUGUCUUGAGUGAAGUAGAGGCAGGCGGAAUUCCUAGGGUAGCGGUGAAAUGCGUAGAUAUUAGGAGGAACACCAGUGGCGAAGGCGGCCUGCUGGGCUUUAACUGACGCUGAGGCUCGAAAGCGUGGGGAGCAAACAGGAUUAGAUACCCUAGUAGUC